ACGUCAUUUUCAGCUUGGACAUCUGACUUCCGAGAUAACUCGAAUCUAGCAUGAUUCCCUGCAAAAAUAGCCAUUUAAGUUGGAACCUAAGUUGGAACUCCAAGUUGGAGUUAUUCCAUUUUUGCUUUUUUUUCCCAAAAAUUUAAAAACAUCCUUUGCCAGAAUUAUACUAAAGCCAAAUCUUAUUUUUUUAACUGACAUAAUUAAAAACAUAUUAUAGUUUGAAAAAUAAUAUUUAGCUUCACGUAUAUUAGCUGCAUUUUAUGGAAGACGAUUAGGACCACUGGAAAAAAUAAUAAAAUAAUAAAAAAAAUGUAAUUUUUAUGGUCAUUAUUCUGAGGGGAAAAGACUGGAUUCUGAGAUUUUAUCCUGACUUUAAUCUCAGAAUAAUCAAUUUCUAAAAAAUUGUAUCUGACUUUUUUUUCCAGUGGCCCUAAUCCUCUUCCGUAGCAUGUGCAACAUGGAUUUUAAGAACUUUUUUUUCACUUUUUGAAACCAGAAAAGAGAACGAUUGCUAUUUUCUUGAGAUAUUUUAAAAGUUUUCAAUAAAAAACUUUAUGUAAACUUUGAUUUUCAUGUAACUCGUUUCAUCUCUGCUCGUUAAAAUCUCCCUCCAGAUCAGAGUCCGCUGUGAAUCCAGCCUCCGGGCUUUGCGAGUCGCCGCUCUGCAGGGCAGAUGUUGCUCAUUCUGAAGCAAACACUAUCAGGAAUCAAAUGGACCAUUUCAGGGCGCUCUGUCUUUGUCUGUGUCACUCGCCCAGAGAGAGAGAUAGAGAGAGGCGGUCUGUGAAUGAUUUGCAUAACUACAUGCUCUUCUUGUUGAGAUGUCCUCAUGUGAUUAGAGACACUGAUGAAUAUGUUUGGACUGAUUUAUCGGAGCAGGAUGUCGGCGGUUGCAACAGAGGAAAUCAUGUUUGAUCAGUUUGUGUUCCACUUUUUCCCACAAAUGUUAAAAAGUGACAUCUUAGUCAGAGCUGAUGAUAAAAACAAAACCCUAAACCAAUAAAAUCACUGACUUUUGUUUUCACAACAUCACUGAUAUGUAAAAACAUUUUAUCACCGUCAUUAAAAUGUUCCUCGUUUGUAGUAUUUUGAUUUUUUUUCCCAUGUUAAUCGCUCACACAUUCAGGUUCUGCCAGGAUUUAUUCCCAUCAUAAAACACUAAUGAAUAACUGUUUCAAAAAAUAAGACAAAAAAAUCAGCAGAAUUGAGUUUGUUUUUAUAUGAGAAAACCUGAUAUAAACAAGAACAGAGAACAAAAGCACAAUAAAAAGUAAUGAAAAACACUCGAUAUUCGGUGCGUUAGCUGAGUCAUCUGUUAUGUUUUCAGUCUACUGCGAAAUAGGACCACCGUGUUCUGGAGCGACGGCAAGAAAAAACAACAUUUUUAACUUAAUUUAUGCAGAUCAGGUAAUUACAGACUCAGAGAGAUGGUGCUGAAAGAGAGGAGCCUUCCUCCAUCGGUUUGUAAUGCGAACAGGGAAAAACAGGAACACAAAGGCCAAACCGGAGUCUGCUGUGGCGAAGACGAGACGUCUUUUUACCUACAACCAGAGGUGGGGGAAAGUCCUUAUGUUGCAAGUCCAAGUCGAGUCUCAAGUCUUUGCUCUCAAGUCCGAGGGAAGUCCAAGUCCUUUGCUCUCAAGUCUCGAGUCAAGUCCAAGUCAACACAACACAGACAAGUCCCAAGUCAAGUCCAAGUCCUUUGCUCUCAAGUCUCGAGUAAAGUCCAAGUCAAGACAGACAGGUCCCAAGUCAAGUCCAAGUCCUUUUCUCUCAAGCCUCGAGUAAAGUCCAAGUCAACACAGACAAGUCCCAAGUCAAGUCCAAGUCCUGAACUUUUUGCUUCGAGUCCCAACCAAGUCCUAGGAAUUUUGCUUCAAGUCCCAACCAAGUCCUUACCGUUUCUUUCGAGUCAAAAACAAGUGCAACACGUGGAAACAGUUGGGCAAUACUAGCGAGGGAUUUAUGUUCAGUCCUCCCGGUGUUGUCGUUAUGAGGGAGGCUAGAGUUUGAGACAGUGUUGCCAAGUUUCAUGAGAGAAAUAACGAAACAGACCUCCAGAAACAAGACAAAAACAAGCAAAUUUUUUUUGCGGGAAUAAGCAGACUUGGCAACACAACACGGUGUUACCAACGGCCGUAAUUCCUGACUAUUAGUUGAUGCAACACUUUUUAAACAGUUUGGGCUGUAAGGUAUUAAGUGACUUGAAAAGACUUGAAAAGACUUUUCAAGUCACUGGGCUCAAGUCAAGUCUCAAGUCUUUAGCAAUCAAGUCCCAAGCAAGUCCAAGUCAUUUCUCGAUUUCAUCAAGCAAGUCAAAAACGGGACUCAAGUCCAAGUCGAGUCUCGAGUCGAGUCGUCAACCCCCCACCUCUGCCUACUACCUCCUAAGUACUACCUGAAAAUGCCCAGAGUUUUUACUUGGAGAAGCUCAAACUGUAAAACAGUCGACCUCAAAAACGUACUUUUAACCAACUUUCUGCAAAAUAUCGAGUAGAGGUGAUCGAUGAGUCUACUGGGAAAAGCAGCCUCGCUUUGAUUCGGUGGGUUUUAUUCACAGGCGACAAACAAAAGCUGUUUGGGUAAAAAGGAAAAACACCCAAAAGUGUCGAUUAGAAACCGCCAAUUCAUCCCAAAAUACUCUCUCCCUCCCCCACGCCUCGCUCGAGUCCAUUCAGCGCCCAGUUCCCCAUUCAUCUCAAUAGUCCGUGGAAGGAGGACGUCAUUACGCGCCAACAGCAUGCGUUGGCUGCGGUCAAGUGCCACGCGCUCGGCCUCUCUUCCGUUAAGCAGAUAAAAGGUGGCAUCUGUCUUUAUUGUGCGAGUAAAUCCCCUCCGCCAUUGACCGCAGACACUUCACAUGUUGAUGAGGAGGAGGACGUAUAGACGGAGGCCCCCGCUGCUUUGUUCCCCAGAGGAGGAGGAGGAGGGAGGACGGGGAGAGGAGGAGGCAGUUUAUGCAAAUCAAACAAACCGUUUGUGAUUUCCAU